rnacentral:tRNA from 1 species
UCCGGAGUAGCUCAGGGGUAGAGCAGGCGGCUGUUAACCGCCGGGUCGGGGGUUCGAAGCCCUCCUCCGGAG